UGGGGAAUAUUGCACAAUGGGCGCAAGCCUGAUGCAGCGACGCCGCGUGGGGGAUGACGGCCUUCGGGUUGUAAACUCCUUUCGCCAGGGACGAAGCGUUUUGUGACGGUACCUGGAGAAGAAGCACCGGCUAACUACGUGCCAGCAGCCGCGGUAAUACGUAGGGUGCAAGCGUUGUCCGGAAUUACUGGGCGUAAAGAGCUCGUAGGUGGUUUGUCACGUCGUCUGUGAAAUUCCACAGCUUAACUGUGGGCGUGCAGGCGAUACGGGCUGACUUGAGUACCGUAGGGGUAACUGGAAUUCCUGGUGUAGCGGUGAAAUGCGCAGAUAUCAGGAGGAACACCGAUGGCGAAGGCAGGUUACUGGGCAGUUACUGACGCUGAGGAGCGAAAGCAUGGGUAGCAAACAGGAUUAGAUACCCUGGUAGUCCAUGCCGUAAACGGUGGGCGCUAGGUGUAGGGACCUUUUGGGGUUUCUGUGCCGUAGCUAACGCAUUAAGCGCCCCGCCUGGGGAGUACGGCCGCAAGGCUA
rnacentral:rRNA from 1 species